UACGUAGGGUGCGAGCGUUAAUCGGAAUUACUGGGCGUAAAGGGUGCGCAGGCGGUUAUAUAAGACAGAUGUGAAAUCCCCGGGCUCAACCUGGGAACUGCGCUUGUGACUGUAUGACUAGAGUACGGUAGAGAGGGGUGGAAUUCCCAGUGUAGAGGUGAAAUUCGUAGAUAUUGGGAAGAACACCGGUGGCGAAGGCGGCUAUCUGGACCGUAACUGACGCUGAGGCGCGAAAGCGUGGGGAGCAAACAGG
rnacentral:rRNA from 1 species